rnacentral:lncRNA from 1 species
UUCAGGUAUAUUUCAAUAUCUAUUGAUGCAUGGAGCUUGAACUGAAUAUAUCCCCAAGUUUGAAGAUCCAUGUGUCUUAUGUUCUCUGCGAGUCCUCAUUUUGUUUUCUUUUCCUUUAGUUCUGAUUUGCCUUGUAAUAAUUGAACAUUUGGAUUUUUUACCUUAUAAUAAUUGGACAUUUGGAUUGAUAUUUUAAAUAUGUACAAUUAAUAGUAAGAUUAACUAGUGGUAUGGCCAGUUCAGA